rnacentral:rRNA from 1 species
UACGUAGGGUGCGAGCGUUGUCCGGAAUUAUUGGGCGUAAAGAGCUCGUAGGCGGUCUGUCGCGUCGAUCGUGAAAACUUGGGGCUUAACCCUGAGCUUGCGGUCGAUACGGGCAUGACUGGAGUUCGGCAGGGGAGACUGGAAUUCCUGGUGUAGCGGUGAAAUGCGCAGAUAUCAGGAGGAACACCGGUGGCGAAGGCGACCAUCUGGACGGAUACUGACGCUGAGACGCGAAAGCGUGGGUAGCAAACAGG